UACGUAGGUGGCAAGCGUUGUCCGGAAUUACUGGGUGUAAAGGGUGCGCAGGCGGGACCGCAAGUUGGAUGUGAAAUACCGGGGCUUAACCCCGGAGCUGCAUCCAAAAUUGUGGUUCUUGAGUGGAGUAGAGGUAAGCGGAAUUCCGAGUGUAGCGGUGAAAUGCGUAGAUAUUCGGAGGAACACCAGUGGCGAAGGCGGCUUACUGGGCUCUAACUGACGCUGAGGCACGAAAGCAUGGGUAUCGAAC
rnacentral:rRNA from 1 species